rnacentral:rRNA from 1 species
GACGAACGCUGGCGGCGUGCUUAACACAUGCAAGUCGAACGAUGAAGCCGGAGCUUGCUCUGGUGAAUUAGUGGCGAACGGGUGAGUAACACGUGAGUAACCUGCCCUUGACUCUGGGAUAACUGCGGGAAACUGUAGCUAAUACCGGAUACGACCAUCGGAGGCAUCUCCUGGGGGUGGAAAGAAUUUCGGUCAAGGAUGGACUCGCGGCCGAUCAGCUAGUUGGUGAGGUAAAGGCUCACCAAGGCGACGACGGGUAGCCGGCCUGAGAGGGUGACCGGCCACACUGGGACUGAGACACGGCCCAGACUCCUACGGGAGGCAGCAGUGGGGAAUAUUGCACAAUGGGCGCAAGCCUGAUGCAGCAACGCCGCGUGAGGGAUGACGGCCUUCGGGCUGUAAACCUCUUUUAGCAGGGAAGAAGCGAAAGUGACGGUACCUGCAGAAAAAGCACCGGCUAACUACGUGCCAGCCGCCGCCGUAA